rnacentral:rRNA from 1 species
UACGAAGGGGGCUAGCGUUGUUCGGAAUUACUGGGCGUAAAGGGCGCGUAGGCGGCUCUGUGCGUCAGGCGUGAAAGUCCUGGGCUUAACCUGGGGAUUGCGCUUGAUACGGCGGGGCUUGGAGUACAGGAGAGGAUGGUGGAAUUCCCAGUGUAGAGGUGAAAUUCGUAGAUAUUGGGAAGAACACCGGUGGCGAAGGCGGCCAUCUGGACUGCAACUGACGCUGAGGCGCGAAAGCGUGGGGAGCAAACAGG